rnacentral:rRNA from 1 species
UACGUAGGGUGCAAGCGUUAAUCGGAAUUACUGGGCGUAAAGCGUGCGCAGGCGGUUAUGUAAGACAGUUGUGAAAUCCCCGGGCUCAACCUGGGAACUGCAUCUGUGACUGCGUAGCUAGAGUACGGUAGAGGGGGAUGGAAUUCCGCGUGUAGCAGUGAAAUGCGUAGAUAUGCGGAGGAACACCGAUGGCGAAGGCAAUCCCCUGGACCUGUACUGACGCUCAUGCACGAAAGCGUGGGGAGCAAACAGG